rnacentral:rRNA from 1 species
UACGUAGGGGGCUAGCGUUGUCCGGAAUCAUUGGGCGUAAAGAGCGUGUAGGCGGCCCGAUCAGUCCGCUGUGAAAGUCCAGGGCUCAACCCUGGGAUGCCGGUGGAUACUGUCGGGCUAGAGUCCGGAAGGGGCGAGUGGAAUUCCUGGUGUAGCGGUGAAAUGCGCAGAUAUCAGGAGGAACACCAAUGGCGAAGGCAGCUCGCUGGGACGUGACUGACGCUGAGACGCGAAAGCGUGGGGAGCAAACAGG